UCUGGAAGCUGCAGAACCAGCCAUGUAGACCUGAGAAAACACCUUCUGUCUACAGACGACACAAUCCUACAUAGACAUGGACAUCUCUGACUUAGCACAGCUAAGUCCGGUUGCUCCCCUCCAGAUAAC